UACGUAGGGACCGAGCGUUGUCCGGAUUCAUUGGGCGUAAAGAGCUCGUAGGCGGCUGUUCAAGUCGAACGUGAAAACUCGGAGCUCAACUCCGAGCCUGCGUUCGAUACUGGACGGCUAGAGUCUGGUAGGGGGAUCUGGAAUUCCUGGUGUAGCGGUGGAAUGCGCAGAUAUCAGGAGGAACACCGGUGGCGAAGGCGGGUCUCUGGGCCGUAGCUGACGCUGAGGAGCGAAAGCAUGGGGAGCGAACAGG
rnacentral:rRNA from 1 species